CUUAGACUAUCCUGAAGUUUUUUCUGUGUGCUGAAGUUUCACCCAAAGGAAACAAGUUUAAGAUCAAAACUGGGGUUCACAUCUGAAUCUUAAAAUGUCUUCCUCUCCAGUGGGCCACACUAUCCAUGUAUGACCUCCCAUGUGGUGAAGUUUAGGCACAGCUAAACCUUCUGGAGCCCUGAUCCUCUCCUGACUAUAACGAUAUGUGUGAGCCAGCAAGGUGCCAUUUGUAUUUCAGUCUUGACUUUACUCGUAUUACUGCACAGAGCUGCAGAGAACUAGAAGGAUUUUAUGACAAUGUGGGUGACGUUGCCUUUGGGACUGGUCAGUGCACACACUCCUCUGCUCUGAAGGUGCUGUAGCCACCAGGAUCAAGCUGCCUUGGUUUCCUAGUCCUACACUUCCGUUGGAAUGACUGAUGGUCCUACCCAUUCGAUUUGCACCGUUCUUGGCCCUGCUCCUGCAAAUCACUCAGCUCAAGAAGGAAGCAGGUUAAGAUGAAAUUCUAAAUAAUUGCUAUUGGAAGGACACCUUUCAUGUCUUACUAAGAAAGAGCAUGGCAUAUGCAGGUUUUUUUUUUUUCCCCCCUCUCUGGAGAUAUUCUAUUCUGGUUGUGUGCAGGGAUGACAAAAUAGAGAUAUUCUGUGACAUAUACUUCUGACCCCUUCUUGUGUUUCUUGGCAAUGAAGAGCUGCAAAGAGCUAAAGAGAAUCAAGAUAUUUUCUGGGGUACUUCUGUAUUCUUAACAGACA